GACUCUGGCCGAGCGAUCGCCUUUUUCCUUCCUUCCGGGAGGAAAGGGGAGGAAAGUCCGGACACUAGGGGACAAUCGGACCGAGUAACACUUGGGCCUUUGGAUUUCAGAAAUGGGGUCCAGGGGACGGAAAGUGCAACAGAAAGUAAACCGCCUACUUCGGUAGGUAAGGGUGAAAGGGUGGGGUAAGAGCCCACCGCUCUAUUUGUAAAAAUAGGGGCAUGGUAAACCCUCCGAUGUGCAAUCUCAAGUAAACAACCGUUAUGAGUUUGUCCCGCCAGGUUGUGGGUAGAGAGCAUUAGAUAAAUGGUCGCAUAAAACAGAAUCCGGCUUACGGGCCAGAGUCACCU
rnacentral:RNase_P_RNA from 1 species